GUACACUCCUGCGGGAGGCAGCAGUGGGGAAUUUUGGACAAUGGGCGAAAGCCUGAUCCAGCCAUGCCGCGUGCAGGAUGAAGGCCUUCGGGUUGUAAACUGCUUUUGUACGGAACGAAACGGCCUUUUCUAAUAAAGAGGGCUAAUGACGGUACCGUAAGAAUAAGCACCGGCUAACUACGUGCCAGCAGCCGCGGUAAUACGUAGGGUGCAAGCGUUAAUCGGAAUUACUGGGCGUAAAGCGUGCGCAGGCGGUUAUGUAAGACAGUUGUGAAAUCCCCGGGCUCAACCUGGGAACUGCAUCUGUGACUGCAUAGCUAGAGUACGGUAGAGUGAGAUGGAAUUCCGCGUGUAGCAGUGAAAUGCGUAGAUAUGCGGAGGAACACCGAUGGCGAAGGCAAUCCCCUGGACCUGUACUGACGCUCAUGCACGAAAGCGUGGGAAGCAAACAGGAUUAGAAACCCCGGUAGUCCCAUGAU
rnacentral:rRNA from 1 species